GCGGCCUAUCAGCUUGUUGGUGAGGUAAUGGCUCACCAAGGCGACGACGGGUAGCCGGCCUGAGAGGGCGACCGGCCACACUGGGACUGAGACACGGCCCAGACUCCUACGGGAGGCAGCAGUGGGGAAUAUUGGGCAAUGGACGAAAGUCUGACCCAGCGACGCCGCGUGCGGGAUGAAGGCCUUCGGGUUGUAAACCGCUUUCAGCAGGGAAGAAGCGAAAGUGACGGUACCUGCAAAAGAAGCACCGGCUAACUAUGUGCCAGCAGCCGCGGUAAUACAUAGGAUGCAAGCGUUGUCCGGAAUUAUUGGGCGUAAAGAGCUCGUAGGUCGUUAAUUACGUCGGGUGUGAAAAUCUGGGGCUCAACCCCAGACCUGCACUCGAUACGGGUUAGCUAGAGUUUGGUAGGGGAGACUGGAAUUCCU
rnacentral:rRNA from 1 species